UUCUCCUUUAAGUCUUUUGAAUUCACUUUCGCUCAUACAGAAGCAGGCUCGUUCGUACAGAAUUAUGUGGCUAACAAGGGUCUGUUAGAAGGGCUAAACCAUGUUAGCAAUAGCUAAAAGACAAAUAGAUUUGGAAAUAAGAAUGAAGAAUCAUCACAUUGGCCACUGCACAAUAAAACAAUGGGAAUUGGGUUAGAAAUCACAAAAUUUAACUUUAAAUUUGCUUCUUCCUUCAAUCACAAAAUUGAGAUUUGCUUCUUCCUUCAAAACGCAAAUACAACUAAUUAAUUUUACGGCAUACAGCUAUGUUGCAAACGAUUCCCCGUUUAAUAACAGCGGUAUACUCAUUCCUAGCAGAAACCUUUCUCUGGUCGGUCUGUCCAACUAUAAAGACGCAUCCAAAACGAAAAAGGGAAUGAUGGGAUUGAGUCAUCUGUGAAAAACUGAACUGACUGGUCUGGGCUACUUCCACAAGCUGGGUGUAUAUUGUGCUUCUUUAAGGCAGAAAUUUGAAGUCAUUUGAAUGAUGUUUGGAUAUCGAUGAUAUGGAAAUCUAAUCUUAAUUUUUGGAUUUUUUCAUGAAGGGACAAGACUAUUAAUUACAAAGAACAAAGGAUAAGCAGCUCAUUAUUUAAGAACACCGAGAAAAAUUCUUUUAUUUGCGAAUCCUAAACUGGGCAGUUUUUGUAGACUUUCCAUGGUUGUCAAGGCAUGGACAGAGAUAACAGUACCUCCCGAUAUUUAGAUGAUUUUUCCCACAUUUUUUCACGGAUUUGUCUAAAAAUUGGUAUUUGUGGAUCAUAAUGGUGUCUACUGUUUCCUUUACCCAAAGGUGGAGGGUAAUUAAAGUUCGGCGUGGCCGAACUUAAUGCUUUUUUACCUGUUAUUUCAAUUUCAAUGCAUUUUUGACCUAUUAACAAAUGUUGGAAAUCAAUGCAUUAACAUCCUUGUCUAUUUUAGAAGUGAACCGUUAUAAUAAUAAACAAAACUCGUUUAAACAA